AAACCUAAAGAUAGCAAAGUAUAAAACUCUAUCACUCUCUUCACUUUACAAAGGAAACCCUUUCUGAAUAAUUUGCCAUGUCUCUGAAAAUGUUUCAAAUUUUGGUGUCUGCUCUGCUGUUUACAGCUUCUGUGUCGAGCGUCCUUGGAGCACCCUUUCUGACAGAAGAACCAGCGAAUCAAUUCAUGCGGCUCAAGCGACACAUUCCAUGUUCUCCCAGCUACUGGGACUCCAGCAGCAGCCAGAAGACAUGGGCACACACCCUGGCUGAACAGAUUAGUGAAUCGUGGGCAGCUCUGAGGGAAACAGCACAAUCCUACAUGGACUUGGAGCCUUUUGCCUUCGAUCCUCCGACAGUUGUGUUCGAUGGGGUUUCCCAAGAGAACAUUUCAUAGACUCGCAGCCUGUGUGUACCUAAGUGAGUAAAACUGACCCUUACAAAACUGCUGACAUUGGUUUAAUAGUGUCGUAACCUGACGCAGUGAAAAACCCAAUUGUAUCUUGAAAAAUUAAGGAAGAAUUGUUUCUACUGCCCAAGCUUAAUAGUUAUUUAAAUGUGGUCAUUUUUUUUGUGGCGGUUUCUUUUUUAAGUAUGUUUUGGAAAAACUCAUUAAGAGCUUAAAGAAUGUAUAUCCUUUUCAAAGUCCACAGAAGCUAAACUGCUUCCUAUAGAGUUGAUUUAAAAAGCAGACAGAAAGCAAUUCCCGAGGAGAAA
rnacentral:lncRNA from 1 species